rnacentral:rRNA from 1 species
GAUGAACGCUGGCGGCGUGCCUAAUACAUGCAAGUCGAGCGAACGGACGAGAAGCUUGCUUCUCUGAUGUUAGCGGCGGACGGGUGAGUAACACGUGGAUAACCUACCUAUAAGACUGGGAUAACUUCGGGAAACCGGAGCUAAUACCGGAUAAUAUUUUGAACCGCAUGGUUCAAAAGUGAAAGACGGUCUUGCUGUCACUUAUAGAUGGAUCCGCGCUGCAUUAGCUAGUUGGUAAGGUAACGGCUUACCAAGGCAACGAUGCAUAGCCGACCUGAGAGGGUGAGCGGCCACACUGGAACUGAGACACGGUCCAGACUCCUACGGGAGGCAGCAGUAGGGAAUCUUCCGCAAUGGGCGAAAGCCUGACGGUGCAACGCCGCGUGAGUGAUGAAGGUCUUCGGAUCGUAAAACUCUGUUAUUAGGGAAGAACAUAUGUGUAAGUAACUGUGCACAUCUUGACGGUACCUAAUCAGAAAGCCACGGCUAACUACGUG